GUUCUGUUAAAUCCAAGACUGAGUGUACCUACCAAAAGCAGUCAACCAUCUUUCAAAACAAGAGGGUCCUGCUGGGAGAUACUGGCAAUGAGAAGUUCCUAUAGGACCAUAAGAUCAUUUGGGCUUCAAUAUGCCCAAAUAGGCUAUGAGGGCACCUAUAUUUACACUGAUUGCCCUUUAUUGGUAACAUCUCCAUCUGAGGGUGGAUCCUGUCUGGCAUGGUGACCAAGAUAAAAGAUGCAAAAGAUCAACAUCAUCCACCAAGACUAUUUCCACUACAUGUGUAAGUACAGUUGCUUCAAGAAGCACAAGAACAUGUUCAUGCACCCAUCCCCUUGCAUCAGGGAUGUCCAGAUCAGCAACAUCAUCAUGGUUGGGUAAGCACCAGCAUGAGCAAGAUGGUACACUUCAACAUGCUCAUGGUCCCCAAUGCCACCAAGAAGCAAUUCCAGUUCUGAGUCU
rnacentral:lncRNA from 1 species